UUCAGGUGGGACACGCUUAAUCCACCUUCUCUCUGUGUGUACAUACAUUAUGUCUAUGCGUGAACCUUUCGAUUGAUUAUGAUGAUUUUGUUCUGUGUUCUGAACUCUAGGUUAAGUAAAACUUUGUAAUCUAUGAAUUCUUUGAAUGCUUUGUAUAGUUUGGUAACAGGCCUCAAUCUAAACCCCCUCAUCUUGUUCUACCUGAUGAAUUACUUGUCAACAUUGCCAAGUCAAUUGGUGCUGAGGUUAACCAAGCUUUGGGGUUUCUUCAAGAUUUGGCAUGUGGAGGAAAUAUUAAGCAGUUUCUAGCUAUAUGUUUGAAUACAUCAAUUUUCUUUAUUUUCUUCGAUUUUCCCUGUCAUGCAUAUGCUUGCAAACCGUUUGAUUUGACCUCUAACCUAUUUGGAUAUUGUUGAAAUUUUCUACUCCAAAUUCUGGGACACUACAGGAGUGUUAAGUGCCUGUUAAGUGUUUGAUUAAAUUCCUCAAUCACGAAUGCUUUUGAAAAUUUUGGGUGCUUACAAAACAAUUAGCUGUGUUUUGUUGUUAUUUCGGAAUUUAAUUAACAGUUGGAUGGCUACGGUAGGAGGGAAUGUGGAAUCGGCAGCUGUUCCAACAUUGGUCCUGGUUUGAGUAGCCCACGAGCUCCUUCAGGCUGGACACCAGUAUUUGGAUAUGUGAUUCAUUGGGUGUAUUUUUUUUUUAUUUAUUUUUUAUUUUUUUGUAGAGUUGUUAAAAAAUUUCUGAAUUGAAAAAUUGAUUUGAUUGGGUAACGAUGGUGAAUCCGUGAAUGUUACUGUGGUGUGCUAACUGUUCUUUUGUUGGUGGGUGUGACUGUGUGUAUGACUGCUGAGGAGUUUAGUGCAGGGCAUGCUGUUAGGGCCAUCAAUGUUCCUUACAUGUUCAAAGUUGGAUCAGAAAAAAGGAAGCGCCAAGACCAGGAGUACAGACAAUUGAGGUCUCUUAUUCAAGAUCUUGAAAAUGACUUUUGUGUGGGCUGUUGUGGAUGUGUACGAAGAGCAUUUGUAUAGAAGACAUUUAUUUUGGAACAAUCCUUUGUUUUGGAAAUCUAGUGUUUUUGUAUGUAAUAUUUAAUUUAGAUGGAUUAUACUUGGUUUGUAUGGAUUUAUAUGAUAUUUGGAAUAUGAUGUUACAAGUUAAAGUUUUUGAAUA